rnacentral:rRNA from 1 species
CCUACGGGUGGCAGCAGUGGGGAAUUUUGGACAAUGGGCGCAAGCCUGAUCCAGCUAUUCCGCGUGUGGGAAGACGGCCUUCGGGUUGUAAACCACUUUUGUAGAGAACGAAAAGUCUAUUGAUAAUACCGGUAGAUGAUGACGGUACUCUAAGAAUAAGCACCGGCUAACUACGUGCCAGCAGCCGCGGUAAUACGUAAGGGGCGAGCGUUAAUCGGAAUUAUUGGGCGUAAAGGGUGUGAAGGCGGUUUUGCAAGAUGGAUGUGAAAGCCCCGGGCUUAACCUGGGAAAUCCAGACAUGACCGGAAGACUAGAGUGCGUCAGAGGUGGGUGGAAUUCGAGGUGUAGCAGUGAAAUGCGUAGAUAUUUGGAAGAACACCGAUGGCGAAGGCAGCCCCCUAGGACGCAACUGACGCUCAUACACGAAAGCGUGGGGAGCGAACAGGAUUAGAUACCCCAGUAGUC